rnacentral:rRNA from 1 species
GGCUCAGGAUGAACGCUAGCGGCAGGCUUAAUACAUGCAAGUCGAGGGGCAGCGGGGGUAGCAAUACCUGCCGGCGACCGGCAAACGGGUGCGGAACACGUACACAACCUUCCUUAAGGUGGGGGAUAGCCCAGAGAAAUUUGGAUUAAUACCCCAUAAUAUAUUUUGGCUGCAUAACUGAGAUAUUAAAGAUUUAUUGCCAUAAGAUGGGUGUGCGUAUGAUUAGGUAAUUGGUUGAGGUAACGGCUCACCAAGCCUUCGAUCAUUAACUGGUGUGAGAGCACGACCAGUCACACGGGCACUGAGACACGGGCCCGACUCCUACGGGAGGCAGCAGUAAGGAAUAUUGGUCAAUGGACGGAAGUCUGAACCAGCCAUGCCGCGUGAAGGAUGACUGCCCUCUGGGUUGUAAACUUCUUUUCUCUGGGGCGAAAAAAGGCCAUUCCUGGUCGUCUGACGGUACCAGAGGAAUAAGCACCGGCUAACUCCGUGCCAGCAGCCGCGGUAAUACGGAGGGUGCAAGCGUUAUCCGGAUUCACUGGGUUUAAAGGGAGCGCAGGCGGACUUGUAAGUCAGUGGUGAAAUACCUGAGCUUAACUCGGGAACUGCCAUUGAUACUAUAGGUCUUGAAUGUUGUUGAGGUUUGCGGAAUGGGUCAUGUAGCGGUGAAAUGCAUAGAUAUGACCCGGAACACCUAUUGCGAAGGCAGCAGGCUAAACAAAUAUUGACGCUGAGGCUCGAAAGCGUGGGGAUCAAACAGGAUUAGAUACCCUGGUAGUCCACGCCCUAAACGAUGAUUACUCGACAUACGCGAUAUGACUGUGUGUGUCUGAGCGAAAGCAUUAAGUAAUCACCUGGGGAGUACGACCGCAAGGUUGAAACU